rnacentral:pre_miRNA from 1 species
AUAGUACUUCCUCCGUCCAAUAAAAGAUGUCUCAAGUUUGUCAAAAUUUAGAUGUAUCUAAACAUGACUUAGUUUAUAAAUUCAUUCAAAUUUGAUCAAAAUUUGGAUGUAUCUAGACAUAACUUAGUUUAUAAAUGCAUUCAAAUUUGAUCAAAGUUGAAACAUCCUUUGUUGGACGGAGCGAGUAAUUG